rfam:Erinaceus europaeus unplaced genomic scaffold scaffold00332, whole genome shotgun sequence
AGCACGUGUGUUUGUUUAAUUAGUGAGCAAAAGCUGUUAGACGUGCAAAAAAAUUCCUCUUUUGCAACCGAGCUCCUUACUCACUGUGAGUUUUGAUAGACAUAAGAAGGAACGGG